UAUGUUGCUCUUUCCUCCUCUCAUCCUCUUCUAAUCAUCCCUCUAUCAUGUCCUCAUAAUCCUCCAUUGUCAAAUCCAUCUAUCCAUUUCAAUUUAAUCCAAAUCAAAUCCUAUCCUGAUCCACUUACCUUGUUGAGCAUUUGGAGAGCAUUCCACAUCCAUCAAGAAGGAGCCCAUCCAUUCAAGUUGAAGAGAGGCGCUAUUCAACUUCACCGAAGGCUCAAUCUGAGGGAGAGGUAAAAUAGCAAGUUCAUUUCAUCCCAACUUCAAAUACCAUUGGCUGAGGUUAGAGAUGAGAUUAUUAGAGACACACAGGCUGUUGCAACUCAUACGUUAGGACAUUCACAACAUUCUCAUCAGUCUACAUAUGCUCUGGGUGACCCACCUACAGAUCACUAUGCUGCUAAAAAUGAGGAGAUAUGGACUGAUCAGGUCAACGUCACACUAGAGGACCUCGAUUCAUUUGAGCAGUAGCUAUAGGAUUUGAGCCAGACUGGUUGUAUGGAUAUGCUACUGGGAUUAGACACUUCAUCAAUACCCACUAAUUUGCAUAGCCUCUUACACUCCUCAUUGAUUGUGGCUGCUAGAGAGAGAUAUGCAAAUAAAAUUGUUGUGGCAGAUAUGAUCGUAGGCUCAAAUGAUCGGACUAUACCUCUUGAUACCCAGGGAUCGAUUGGACAUCCAUCAGACCAGGACUCUCACUCAAAGGUUCACUUCGUUCGUAGCCAACAUGAUGAUUGAUCUACCACUUAGAGCGUGUGCCCCUGCAGUACACACAUGUUUACCUUUAUCUAUAUAUAUGGACUUCCUUAGACAUAUAUUAUUGUUUACACUCGUUUAUAUAGACUUUCUUAGAUAUGUUGUUUGUUACCUUUAUA